rnacentral:rRNA from 1 species
GCAUGAAGCCGGAAUCGCUAGUAAUCGCGGAUCAGAAUGCCGCGGUGAAUACGUUCCCGGGUCUUGUACACACCGCCCGUCACACCAUGGGAGUCGGGAAUGCCCGAAGUCAGUGGCCCAACCGGAAGGGGGGAGCUGCCGAAGGCAGGCCCGGUGACUGGGGUGAAGUCGUAACAAGGUAGC